CCUACGGGAGGCUGCAGUGGGGAAUAUUGCACAAUGGGCGCAAGCCUGAUGCAGCAACGCCGCGUGGGGGAUGACGGCCUUCGGGUUGUAAACCUCUUUUAGUAAGGAAGAAGCCUUCGGGUGACGGUACUUGCAGAAAAAGCACCGGCUAACUACGUGCCAGCAGCCGCGGUAAUACGUAGGGUGCAAGCGUUGUCCGGAAUUAUUGGGCGUAAAGAGCUCGUAGGCGGUUUGUCGCGUCUGCUGUGAAAUCCCGAGGCUCAACCUCGGGCGUGCAGUGGGUACGGGCAGACUGGAGUGCGGUAGGGGAGAAUGGAAUUCCUGGUGUAGCGGUGGAAUGCGCAGAUAUCAGGAGGAACACCGAUGGCGAAGGCAGUUCUCUGGGCCGUAACUGACGCUGAGGAGCAAAAGCGUGGGGAGCGAACAGGAUUAGAUACCCGAGUAGUC
rnacentral:rRNA from 1 species